rnacentral:rRNA from 1 species
GAUAAUGGUUUAAGUUACUAAGGGCGUACGGUGGAUGCCUUGGCAUUAGGAGGCGAUGAAGGACGUGGCUAGCUGCGAUAAGCCUCGGGGAGCCGCAAGCAGGUUUUGAUCCGGGGAUUUCCGAAUGGGGCAACCCAUCCCGAUGAACUCGGGAUACCUACCACUGAAUAUAUAGGUGGAUAGGAGCUAACCCAGGGAAGUGAAACAUCUCAGUACCUGGAGGAAAAGAAAUCAACGAGAUUCCCUCAGUAGCGGCGAGCGAAAUGGGAAUAGCUCAAACCAGUAUUAUGUAAGGCCUUAUCCGUUGUAAUAUUGGGGUUGUAGGAUUUAAUGUGUCUCGUAUAAGGACGAGGCCGGAAGUUACAAAUUGAUGUCGUAGCCGAAAUAUCUGGAAAGGUAUGUCAAAGAAGGUGAUAACCCUGUAGGUGAAACGGCAGAAGCUUCCGAUUGAAUUCCUGAGUACCACGGGACCCGAGAAAUCUUGUGGGAAGCCGGGAGGACCACCUUCCAAAGCUAAAUACUACCUAAUGACCGAUAGUGAACCAGUACCGUGAGGGAAAGGCGAAAAGAACCCCGUUGAGGGGAGUGAAAUAGAACCUGAAACCGUACGCUUACAAGCAGUCAGAGCUUCAGCCUGUAAUGGUUGCGAGUGAUGGCGUGCCUUUUGCUUAAUGAGCCGGCGAGUUACUGAGUGCAGCAAGGUUAAAGAGUAUAUCUGGAGCCGCAGCGAAAGCGAGUCCGAAUAGGGCGAUUGAGUUGCAUUUAGUAGACCCGAAACCAAGUGAUCUAUCCAUGGCCAGGAUGAACCCUGCUUAAUCGCAGGGGAAGGUCCGAACCGGUGAACGUUGAAAAGUUCUCGGAUGAGCUGUGGAUAGGGGUGAAAGGCUAAUCAAACUUGGUGAUAGCUGGUUUUCCUCGAAAUAGCUAGAGGGCUAGCCUUGCAAAUUAUGUUACGGAGGUAGAGCACUGAAUGGGCUAGGGGGCUUACCCGUCUACCGAACCCAAUCAAACUCCGAAUGCCGUAAACACUUAUUGCAGGAGUCAGACUACGGGUGCUAAGAUCCGUGGUCGAAAGGGAAAGAACCCAGACCGCCAGCUAAGGUCCCUAAAACUAACUAAGUGGGAAAGGUUGUGAGAAUGCCCAGACAGCCAGGAGGUUGGCUUAGAAGCAGCCACCCUUUAAAGAGUGCGUAAUAGCUCACUGGUCAAGUGUUCUUGCGCCGAAAAUGUAACGGGGCUCAAGUUAGUUACCGAAGCUGCGGAUUGUAAAAUUCUUCGGAUUUUUACAAUGGUAGAGGAACAUUCCCUAUGUCACUGAAGGUCAAUCGCGAGGUUGGCUGGAGAUAUGGGAAGAGAUUCUGCCGGCAUAAGUAGCGAUAAAAGACGUGAGAAACGUCUUCGCCAAAAAUCUAAGGUUUCCUGGGGAAGGUUAAUCCUCCCAGGGUUAGUCGGUCCCUAAGCUGAGAUCGAAAGAUGUAGGUGAUGGGAAACAGGUCAAUAUUCCUGUACCACCUUAAUUGCGUUAUUAACGAAGGGGGGACACAGGAGGGUAGGCACCGCCCCCAGUUGGAAUUGGGGGUCCAAGCCAGUAGGGAGUUCCGAUAGGCAAAUCCGUUGGAACAUUAAUCCUGAGAGGUGAUAGGGAGCUCCGUAAUAGAGCGAACGGGCUGAUCCCAUACUGUCUAGAAAAGCCUCGUAGUGAGUCGUUAAGGUGACCGUACCGUAAACCGACACAGGUAGAUAGGAUGAAUAAUCUAAGGCGCUUGAGAGAAUGCUCCCUAAGGAACUCGGCAAAUUGACCCCGUAACUUCGGGAUAAGGGGUGCUCUGUUUUGUGACUGGAUUUACUCCAGGAGCGAAAUAGAGUCUCAGUAAAAUGGCUCUGUCGACUGUUUACCAAAAACACAGGACUCUGCAAAGUCGCAAGACGACGUAUAGGGUCUGAUGCCUGCCCAGUGCCGGAAGGUUAACAGGAGAAGUUAGCGGCGAAGCUUUGAAUCGAAGCCCCGGUAAACGGCGGCCGUAACUAUAACGGUCCUAAGGUAGCGAAAUUCCUUGUCGGGUAAGUUCCGACCUGCAUGAAUGGCAUAACGAAUGGAGCACUGUCUCGGGGAGCAACUCAGCGAAAUUGUUGUUCCGGUGAAGAAGCCGGGUGCCCGCAACAAGACGGAAAGACCCUGUGCACCUUUACUAUAGCUUGACAUUGGAUGUUGGGUGAGUACGUGUAGGAUAGGUGGGAGACUUUGAAGCGGUGGCGCUAGCUAUCGUGGAGUCGACCUUGAAAUACCACCCUUGCUUUUCUGGCAUUCUAACCUAGGUCCCUUAUCGGGAUCGGGGACACUGUCUGGUGGGUAGUUUGACUGGGGCGGUCGCCUCCUAAAAGGUAACGGAGGCGCCCAAAGGUUCUCUCAGGCUGGUCGGAAAUCAGCCAUCGAGUGUAAAGGCAAAAGAGAGCUUAACUGCGAGACCUACAAGUCAAGCAGAUACGAAAGUAGGGCUUAGUGAUCCGGUGGUUCUGUGUGGAAGGGCCAUCGCUCAUCGGAUAAAAGGUACGCCGGGGAUAACAGGCUUAUCGCGUCCAAGAGUUCACAUCGACGACGCGGUUUGGCACCUCGAUGUCGGCUCAUCGCAUCCUGGUGAAGCAGGUCCCAAGGGUUGGGCUGUUCGCCCAUUAAAGCGGUACGCGAGCUGGGUUCAGAACGUCGUGAGACAGUUCGGUCCCUAUCUGUUGUGGGCGUAGGAAAUUUGAGGGAGGUUGACCCUAGUACGAGAGGACCGGGUUGAACGAACCUCUGGUGUGUCGGUUGUCCUGCCAAGGGCAUCGCCGGGUAGCCAUGUUCGGAAAGGAUAACCGCUGAAAGCAUCUAAGCGGGAAACCUGUCCCAAGAUUAGAUUUCCCUGCCAUAUGGCACUGAAGGUCACCUGUAGACGACAGGAUUGAUAGGCGGGGUGUGGAAGCGCUGUGAGGCGUGGAGCUGACCCGUACUAAUAGACCGUGAGACUUAACUAU